rnacentral:rRNA from 1 species
ACUCCUACGGGAGGCAGCAGUCGAGAAUCUUCGGCAAUGGGCGCAAGCCUGACCGAGCGACGCCGCGUGGAGGAUGAAGGUCUUCGGAUUGUAAACUCCUGUCAUUUGGGAACAAGGUGCACACGUUAACUGCGUGAGUAUUGAUAGUACCAGAAGAGGAAGAGACGGCUAACUCUGUGCCAGCAGCCGCGGUAAUACAGAGGUCUCAAGCGUUGUUCGGAUUCAUUGGGCGUAAAGGGUGCGUAGGCGGCGCGGUAAGUCGGGUGUGAAAUCUCGGAGCUUAACUCCGAAACUGCAUUCGAUACUGCCGUGCUUGAGGACUGGAGAGGAGACUGGAAUUUACGGUGUAGCGGUGAAAUGCGUAGAGAUC